UACGGAGGAUCCGAGCGUUAUCCGGAUUUAUUGGGUUUAAAGGGAGCGUAGGCGGACUAUUAAGUCAGCUGUGAAAGUUUGCGGUUCAACCGUAAAAUUGCAGUUGAUACUGGUCGUCUUGAGUGCAGUAGAGGUAGGCGGAAUUCGUGGUGUAGCGGUGAAAUGCUUAGAUAUCACGAAGAACUCCGAUCGCGAAGGCAGCUUACUGGACUGUAACUGACGCUGAUGCUCGAAAGUGUGAGUAUCGAACAGGAUUAGAUACCCUGGUAGUCCACACAGUAAACGAUGAAUACUCGCUGUUUGCGAUAUACGGCAAGCGGCCAAGCGAAAGCAUUAAGUAUUCCACCUGGGGAGUACGCUGGCAACGGUGAAACUCAAAGGAAUUGACGGGG
rnacentral:rRNA from 1 species